GUGCUCACUUUGGCAGCAUGAAAAAUCUAAAAUUGAAACAAUACACAGGAGAUGAGCAGGGAUCCUGCCCAAAGAUGAUAUGCAAAUUUCUAAAAGCAGAACUAAUUGUA
rnacentral:snRNA from 1 species